GACAGAGGGUGCAAACGUUGUUCGGAAUUACUGGGCGUAAAGCGCGUGUAGGCAGCUUGGCAAGUCGGGUGUGAAAGCCCUGGGCUUAACCUAGGAAUUGCAUUCGAGACUGAAUAGCUAGGGUGCGGUAGAGGGAAGCGGAAUUUCCGGUGUAGCGGUGAAAUGCGUAGAUAUCGGAAGGAACAUCAGUGGCGAAAGCGGCUUCCUGGACCAGCACCGACGUUCAGGCACGAAAGCGUGGGGAGCAAACAGG
rnacentral:rRNA from 1 species